AACAGGAAUAUGAAAAACAGUCGCUGUAAGUUUGCUACCAAGGUAUCUUUUCUGAAUUAUAAUUAACAAAGGUGGGAUAUGAUCCCGGAAGAAAGGCAUGAGGUUUAAUGAAUGAGGGAACCCAUGUGAUGGGAGAAUACCGUUGGGCACCUGCACCUGUGACUGGGGAAAUGGAGGCAGCUGGGGAUGAAUGCGGAUGGCACAGGGGACCCUGAUUUGAGGAAAGACAAUGAGCUCACCCCUUGCUGCCCUGUGUAGGGGGCACUGUUGGCACCUCCUACAGGACAUGCCCAGCAGAGAGAGAGUGGCUGUGGGAUGAGGAGAUCAACGCAGAGAUUCAGUGUGAGGCCUCUGGGUCCAGACAGUUCUGGAGCACAAAGCAAUGAGCCAUGCAUUGAUGUUGUUAAAAAGGAGCUUAUAACUACUUAAAGCAUCACCCAAGUGUGUUCUGAUAUAAAUGCUGUGACCCUGAGGUCCUGGAGAUUGAGAGAGGAAGUGAUGUCACUUGGGAACUGCCCUGUGGAGACAAGGACGUCCCUCCUCCUCUGCUCCUGCUCACAGUGACACUGAUCUCAUAAGGCCCCCAUCCUGCCUGACCCUGUCAUGGGCACCAGGCUCCUCUGCUGGGUAGUCCUGGGUUUCCUAGGGACAGAUCACACAGGUGUUGGAGUCUCCCAGUCCCCCAGGUACAAAGUCACAGAGAGGGCACAGGAUAUAGCUUUCAGGUGUGAUCCAAUUUCAGGUCAUGAAACGCUGUACUGUAUUGGUACCAACAGAUCCUGGGACAGAGCCCAGAGUUUCUGACUUACUUCAGGUAUGAAGCUCAAUUAGACAAAUCAGGGCUUCCCAGUGAUCGGUUCUCUGCAGAGAGGGCUGGGGGAUCCUUCUCCACUCUGAAGAUCCAGUGCACAGAGCAGGAGGACUCUGCUGUGUAUCUCUGUGCCAACAGCUCAGCCACAGUGUGGCACAGUCGCCUCCUUCCUGCUCACAAACCUUCUCCUCUCCCUCCUGGCAGCUCCUAGAGACCCUUAACAGAGGCCUCUCCUUGCUCCUCACUUUUCAUGGGAAAGAAGCAAAUUUGGACCUCAGCUGUCCUUUGGGUAGAGUGAGACCACAGAUCCAUUCCUGAAACACAGUGACUGCAAAUGUAGGUGGUGAAAACAAUCAUGGCCCAUGUGUUCUAGGAGUCCUCGGAGCCAGCUCACUGCUCCAAGCAAGGUGUGGCUGUCUUCGCCUUGGCCUUCAGGGCAGAAUACAUUUUCUAGAGGUCUUGGUGGCUGCCGUGCUGCCCACGUACAUGAGGUUGUCACGGGCAGGAAACAGACCUCUUC